GAUGAACGCUGGCGGCGUGCCUAAUACAUGCAAGUCGAGCGAACGGACGAUAAGCUUGCUUCUCUGAUGUUAGCGGCUGACGUGUGAGUAACACGUGUAUAACCUACCUAUAAUACUUGGAUAACUUCGUGAAACCGUAGCUAAUACCGGAUGAUAUUUUGAACCGCUUGGUUCAAAAGUGAAUGACGGUCUUGCUGUCACUUAUAGAUGGAUCCGCUCUGCAUUAGCUAGUUGGUAAGGUAACGGCUUACCAAGGCAACGAUGCAUAGCCGACCUGAGAGGGUGAGCGGCCACACUGGAACUGAGACACGGUCCAGACAACUACGGGAGGCAGCAGUAGGGAAUCUUCCGCAAUGGGCGAAAGCCUGACGGAGCAACGCCGCGUGAGUGGUGAAGGUCUUCGGAUCGUAAAACUCUGUUAUUAGGGAAGAACAUAUGUGUAAGUAACUGUGCACAUAUUGACGGUACCUAAUCAGAAAGCAACGGCUAACUACGUG
rnacentral:rRNA from 1 species